rnacentral:rRNA from 1 species
CCCCAGUCCUGAAUGAUACUAAGCCAUGCGAGUCAUUGUAGUAAUACAAGGCAGACGGCUCAGUAACGCGUAGUCAACCUACCCUAUGGACGGGGAUAACCUCGGGAAACUGAGAAUAAUACCCGAUAGAACAUUAUGCCUGGAAUGGUUUAUGUUUCAAAUGAUUUAUCGCCGUAGGAUGGGACUGCGGCCUAUCAGUUUGUUGGUGAGGUAAUGGCCCACCAAGACUAUUACAGGUACGGGCUCUGAGAGGAGUAGCCCGGAGAUGGGUACUGAGACACGGACCCAGGCCCUAUGGGGCGCAGCAGGCGAGAAAACUUUGCAAUGUGCGAAAGCACGACAAGGUUAAUCCGAGUGGUUUGUGCUAAACGAACCUUUUGUCGGUCCUAGAAACACCGAUGAAUAAGGGGUGGGCAAGUUCUGGUGUCAGCCGCCGCGGUAAAACCAGCACCUCAAGUGGUCAGGAUGAUUAUUGGGCCUAAAGCAUCCGUAGCCGGCUCUGUAAGUUUUCGGUUAAAUCUGUACGCUCAACGUACAGGCUGCCGGGAAUACUGCAGAGCUAGGGAGUGGGAGAGGUAGACGGUACUCGGUAGGAAGGGGUAAAAUCCUUUGAUCUAUUGAUGACCACCUGUGGCGAAGGCGGUCUACCAGAACACGUCCGACGGUGAGGGAUGAAAGCUGGGGGAGCAAACCGGAUUAGAUACCCGGGUAGUCCCAGCUGUAAACUAUGCAAACUCAGUGAUGCAUUGGCUUGUGGCCAAUGCAGUGCUGCAGGGAAGCCGUUAAGUUUGCCGCCUGGGAAGUACGUACGCAAGUAUGAAACUUAAAGGAAUUGGCGGGGGAGCACCACAAGGGGUGAAGCCUGCGGUUCAAUUGGAGUCAACGCCGGA